AUACGGAGGGUGCGAGCGUUAAUCGGAAUUACUGGGCGUAAAGGGUGCGUAGGCGGCUUGAUAAGUCGGAUGUGAAAGCCCCGGGCUUAACCUGGGAAUUGCAUUCGAUACUGUCAGGCUAGAGUAUGUCAGAGGUUGGCGGAAUUCCUGGUGUAGCGGUGAAAUGCGUAGAUAUCAGGAGGAACACCAGUGGCGAAGGCGGCUAACUGGGGCAAUACUGACGCUGAGGCACGAAAGCGUGGGGAGCAAGCAGGAUUAGAGACCCUAGUAGUCC
rnacentral:rRNA from 1 species